GGCGUAGACCCGAAACCAGAUGAUCUAUCCAUGGCCAGGUUGAAGGUGUGGUAACACACACUGGAGGACCGAACCGACUAGUGUUGCAAAAUUAGCGGAUGAGCUGUGGAUAGGGGUGAAAGGCUAAACAAAUCUGGAGAUAGCUGGUUCUCCCCGAAAACUAUUGAGGUAGUGCCUCGUGUAUGACUCCAGGGGGUAGAGCACUGUUAUGGCUAGGGGGACAUGGCGUCUUACCAAACCAUGGCAAACUCCGAAUACUUGGAAGUUUGAGCACGGGAGACAGAGCACCGGGUGCUAACGUCCGGACUCAAGAGGGAAACAACCCAGACCGCCGGCUAAGGUCCCUAAUAUUGACUAAGUGGAAAACGAAGUGGAAAGGCUAAGACAGUCAGGAAGUUGGCUUAGAAGCAGCCAUCCUUCAAAGAAAGCGUAAUAGCUCACUGAUCGAGUCUUUCUGCGCGGAAGAUGUAACGGGGCUAAGUCAAUAACCGAAGCCGCGGAUUCACACUUGUGUGUGAGUGGUAGGGGAGCGUUCUGUAAGCCUGCGAAGGUGACUCGUAAGGGUUGCUGGAGGUAUCAGAAGUGCGAAUGCUGACAUGAGUAACGUUAAAGCGGGUGAAAAGCCCGCUCGCCGUAAGCCCAAGGUUUCCUGCUCUACGUUCAUCGGAGCAGGGUGAGUCGGCCCCUAAGGUGAGGCUGAGAAGCGUAACUGAUGGGAACAAGGUUAAUAUUCCUUGACCACCGCUGAAUGCGAAGGGGGGACGGAGUAUUGAAGAUCAUCCGGGUGUUGGAUAUCCCGGUUUGCGAGCGUAGGAGGCUGACAGGCAAAUCCGUCAGCGAAUCUCCGAGGCGAAGCAUCGAGCUCUCUUUUGAGCGAAGUGAUUGGAUGUGCUUCCAGGAAAAGCCUCUAAGCUCCAGUUCAGCGGGACCGUACCGCAAACCGACACUGGUGGGCGAGCUGAAUAUGCUCAGGCGCUUGAGAGAACUCAGGAGAAGGAACUCGGCAAAUUGACACCGUAACUUCGGGAUAAGGUGUGCCUUUGUAGCGUGGAGGGAGAAACACCCCGAGCGCGAAGAGGUCUCAGAUAAUCGGUGGCUGCGACUGUUUAUUAAAAACACAGCACUCUGCAAAGACGAAAGUCGACGUAUAGGGUGUGAUGCCUGCCCGGUGCUGGAAGAUUAAUUGAUGGGGUGCAAGCUCCUGAUCGAAGUCCCAGUAAACGGCGGCCGUAACUAUAACGGUCCUAAGGUAGCGAAAUUCCUUGUCGGGCAAGUUCCGACCUGCACGAAUGGCAUAACGAUGGCCACACUGUCUCCUCCUGAGACUCAGUGAAGUUGAAGUGUUUGUGAUGAUGCAAUCUCCCCGCGGCUAGACGGAAAGACCCCAUGAACCUUUACUGUAGCUUUGCAUUGGACUUUGAACCGAUCUGUGUAGGAUAGGCGGGAGCCUGUGAAACCACAACGCCAGUUGUGGCGGAGGCGUCCUUGAAAUACCGCCCUGAUUUGUUUGAGGUUCUAACCUGGGACAGUCAUCCUGUCCGGGGACCGUGCAUGGUAGGCAGUUUGACUGGGGCGGUCUCCUCCUAAAGGGUAACGGAGGAGUGCGAAGGUACGCUAGGUACGGUCGGAAAUCGUGCUGAUAGUGCAAUGGCAAAAGCGUGCUUGACUGCGAGACCCACAAGUCGAGCAGAUACGAAAGUAGGUCAUAGUGAUCCGGUGGCUCUGUAUGGAAGGGCCAUCGCUCAACGGAUAAAAGGUACUCUGGGGAUAACAGGCUGAUACCGCCCAAGAGUUCAUAUCGACGGCGGUGUUUGGCACCUCGAUGUCGGCUCAUCUCAUCCU
rnacentral:rRNA from 1 species